UCACCCCAAAAACCCAGACCCAGUGCCAGGAACUGAAAUGUAAGGGCAGAUAGUAGGGGACAGACAUGGACAGAGAGGGAGAUGCAAAGAAAGAACAAGAAAGUCAAAGCUGAUAGUUCUCAGCAGGAACACGCUGUACAAUGUUAGAGCAGAGACUGCACCAAGAGAGGCGCAAACAUUAGAACCCAACUGGUGAGAAGUGAGAACAAGGAGAAUAAACACGUGACAGGCAUAAACCAGAAGAGCAGUCAGAAGACUUGUGACAGAAGGAAACCGCCUGUGGCUCAGCAACAGUAGGCUUCGGUGACACCGGUCUUUGUGCAGACCUAUGGGAUCCUGAAUGCAACUGGCUCUUGUUGUUCCCGUUCCUCUGCAAGGACUCAAAUGGGGAGACCCCACGCUGAGGCCAGCCUCAUUACAUGUCUUCAUUCCAUCACAAAG